UACGGGGGGGGCAAGCGUUGUUCGGAAUUACUGGGAGUAAAGGGCGCGUAGGCGGCCAUCUAAGUCAGACGUGAAAUCCCUCGGCUCAACCGAGGAACUGCGUCUGAUACUGGAAGGCUUGAAUCCGGGAGAGGGAUGUGGAAUUCCAGGUGUAGCGGUGAAAUGCGUAGAUAUCUGGAGGAACACCGGUGGCGAAGGCGGCAUCCUGGACCGGUAUUGACGCUGAGGCGCGAAAGCUAGGGGAGCAAACGGG
rnacentral:rRNA from 1 species